rnacentral:lncRNA from 1 species
CUACUGCCUGGAGGUGGUAUGCUUCGAUUCGUAUUUCUCCACCUGCCUCACGUGAGUCGUCACAAGAACCUCGGACCAAUGUUGUAUCCACGGUAAUAGCAUCUACACCUGGCACUUGCAAAUCAGGUCUCUUAAACGUGUGCAGACACGCCCGGUCAGUGAUCGGGCUUGUCCGUUUUAAGCUCCUAUUAUUUCAUCUCUCCAGCCACAUAUAUUAUAUUUUCUUUAUAUGUCCG